AUUGAACGCUGGCGGCAGGCCUAACACAUGCAAGUCGAGCGCGAAAGUCUUCGGAUGAGUAAAGCGGCGAACGGGUGAGUAAUGCAUGGGAAUCUGCCUGGUAGUGGGGGACAACGUCUCGAAAGGGACGCUAAUACCGCAUACGCCCUACGGGGGAAAGGGGGGGAUCUUCGGACCUCUCGCUAUCAGAUGAGCCCAUGUCAGAUUAGCUAGUUGGUGAGGUAAAGGCUCACCAAGGCGACGAUCUGUAACUGGUCUGAGAGGAUGAUCAGUCACACUGGAACUGAGACACGGUCCAGACUCCUACGGGAGGCAGCAGUGGGGAAUAUUGGACAAUGGGGGGCAACCCUGAUCCAGCCAUGCCGCGUGUGUGAAGAAGGCCCUAGGGUUGUAAAGCACUUUCAGUGGGGAGAAAGGUUAUUCACCUAAUACGUGAGUAGAUUGAUGUUACCCACAGAAGAAGCACCGGCUAACUCCGUGCCAGCAGCCGCGGUAAU
rnacentral:rRNA from 1 species